UGGGGAAUAUUGCGCAAUGGGGGGAACCCUGACGCAGCCAUGNCCGCGUGAAUGAAGAAGGCCUUAGGGUUGUAAAGUUCUUUCGGUAUUGAGGAAGGUUGAUGUGUUAAUAGCACAUCAAAUUGACGUUAAAUACAGAAGAAGCACCGGCUAACUCCGUGCCAGCAGCCGCGGUAAUACGGAGGGUGCGAGCGUUAAUCGGAAUAACUGGGCGUAAAGGGCACGCAGGCGGUUAUUUAAGUGAGGUGUGAAAGCCCCGGGCUUAACCUGGGAAUUGCAUUUCAGACUGGGUAACUAGAGUACUUUAGGGAGGGGUAGAAUUCCACGUGUAGCGGUGAAAUGCGUAGAGAUGUGGAGGAAUACCGAAGGCGAAGGCAGCCCCUUGGGAAUGUACUGACGCUCAUGUGCGAAAGNGUGGGGAGCAAACAGGAUUAGAUACCCUGGUAGUCCACGCUGUAAACGCUGUCGAUUUGGGGGUUGGGGUUUAACUCUGGCGCCCGUAGCUAACGUGAUAAAUCGACCGCCUGGGGAGUACGGCCGCAAGNUUA
rnacentral:rRNA from 1 species